rnacentral:rRNA from 1 species
GUCCUUUUGAGUUUAAUUUAAGGUCUAACCUGCCCACUGAAAUUUUUAAUGGCCGCAGUAAUUUGACUGUGCAAAGGUAGCAUAAUAAUUAGUUUUUUAAUUAAAAGCUUGUAUGAAGGGUUGGACGAAAUAAAAUCUGUCUCUAUUUAAUUAAAUUUAGAAUUUAACUUUUAAGUUAAAAGGCUUAAAUAUUAUUAAAAGACGAGAAGACCCUAUAGAUCUUUAUAUUUUUUUUUAUAAUUUUAAUUAGGAAUUAUUACUUUUUUAUUAAAAAAAGUAUUUUAUUGGGGUAAUAUAAAGAUUUAAAAAAUUCUUUUUUUAUAUAAACAUAUAUUUAUGAUAUUAAUGAUCCAAUUUUAUUGAUUAUAAGAUUAAGUUACCUUAGGGAUAACAGCGUAAUUUUUUUUGAGAGUUCUUAUCGAUAAAAAAGUUUGCGACCUCGAUGUUGGAUUAAAGAUUAUUUUAGGUGUAGAAGCUUGAAAAUUUUGGUCUGUUCGACCAUUAAAUCUUUACA